rnacentral:rRNA from 1 species
GGAAGUAAAAGUCGUAACAAGGUCUCCGUUGGUGAACCAGCGGAGGGAUCAUUACCGAGUUUACAACUCCCAAACCCUUCAUGUGAACAUACCUAUCGUUGCUUCGGCGGAUCGCCCCGGCGUCCGGACGGCCUAGCGCCGCCCGCGGCCCGGACCCAGGUGGCCGCCGGAGACCCACCAAACUCUUGUAUUUAUCAGCAUCUUCUGAAUUUAGCCUCACGGCGAAAACAAAUGAAUCAAAACUUUCAACAACGGAUCUCUUGGUUCUGGCAUCGAUGAAGAACGCAGCGAAAUGCGAUAAGUAAUGUGAAUUGCAGAAUUCAGUGAAUCAUCGAAUCUUUGAACGCACAUUGCGCCCGCCAGCAUUCUGGCGGGCAUGCCUGUUCGAGCGUCAUUUCAACACUCGGCUUCCCCCUGGGGAAACCGGCGUUGGGGAACGGCAGCACACCGCCGGCCCUGAAAUAGAGUGGCGGCCCGUCCGCGGCGACCUCUGCGUAGUAAAACAGCUCGCACCGGAAGCUCGACGUGGCCACGCCGUAAAACACCCAACUCUGAACGUUGACCUCGGAUCAGGUAGGACUACCCGCUGAACUUAAGCAUAUC